rnacentral:sRNA from 2 species
ACGCCGCAUGUCGAUCACUUCUGUCUACGCCUCGCGAUUUUAUUGGUACCGCUGCUCACAGCGGAUGCGGGUCUAUGCGUAACUGAAGUCGACGCGACGA